CAGACCCCGCCGGGACUCUCUGCUCCAGACGGAAUUCGCACCCACAAAUAACGGCGCGGAAACUGGAUCUGUCCGUUCAUUUCUCGCCGAGUCCUUUGGGAACGGAACAGAGCAGUCUUCAGGCACAGAAGCCACAAGGGUGCAGAAAUGUGCAAAACAUUGGCUAAACCUCCACCAAAUUCCAGAAGAGCCAGGCUGUGUCAGAGGGUUGCAGAGCUACAGCCUUUGGCUCUGAGUGAAAAUGAUGAAGUGUCAUGAAAUACUCAGCCAAAAAACAGAUGUAGUAAGGCAAGCUGAGCAGCAAAAAAUACAACACAGAUGGUCACGAUAAAUUAAUUGAAGACACAAGGGGGAGAGAUGCAAAAAAAAAUGCCAUGGAGCCUUCAAGCCUCAAUUGCCAGCAGAAGGCAAAACAGAAACCUGAUGGACAAGGCUAAUCUCCUGAAGAGGGAAGGCCGCAGGCACUGCCCUCUCUGAGGACCCAUUUUAGCAGCAGCAAAAUCACUUGUCAGCAAGGGGGACAUGAACAUCCAGUGCGUUGUCAUGGCCUGGCAGCUUGUACCAUCUUCAUUUUGCAAGGACAGUCCUGCACAGAUUCCUGCAGGCAGUGACCAGCUUUCUCUGACAGUCUGAGUGCUUCUGACAGGGAAGGGCUCCCACAGCCCUAAUUCUGGUGGGAAAUGUAACUUCUGGAGUGAGGUACUAGCAGAAGAGAACCUAUGACACUCAAAGCAAAGAGUCUGAUUGCCAUCUUAUCUUUCCCUCCAGCCUCUGGAUGUCUCUGGUUCCUCCU